CGGUUUCUGGAGCGUGCGUCAGACGACAGCAUCCCGGCGACCUUACAUCUCUGAGAGGGAGCUACCUCUGUCCGGGGCCGUGGCCCCGGUCACGCGGCGCCCACCUGGUUAUCCGGGUCAUCAGGGAUCGAUGUUCGUCGACGGCGCAUCCGGAGCCGCC
rnacentral:other from 1 species